GCUCCUGGAGCCGAGGCCAGUCGCAGAUACCAGCUGGCUGCAACUGUUUAAUAAAAACACAGCACUGUGCAAACACGAAAGUGGACGUAUACGGUGUGACGCCUGCCCGGUGCUGGAAGGUUAAUUGAUGGGGUUAGCCGCAAGGCGACGCUCUUGAUCGAAGCCCCAGUAAACGGCGGCCGUAACUAUAACGGUCCUAAGGUAGCGAAAUUCCUUGUCGGGUAAGUUCCGACCUGCACGAAUGGCGUAAUGAUGGCCAGGCUGUCUCCACCCGAGACUCAGUGAAAUUGAACUCGCUGUGAAGAUGCAGUGUACCCGCGGCAAGACGGAAAGACCCCGUGAACCUUUACUAUAGCUUGACACUGAACCUUGAGCCUUGAUGUGUAGGAUAGGUGGGAGGCUGUGAAGUGUGGACGCCAGUCUGCAUGGAGCCAUCCUUGAAAUACCACCCUUGAAUGUUUGAUGUUCUAACGUCGGCCCGUCAUCCGGGUUGCGGACAGUGUCUGGUGGGUAGUUUGACUGGGGCGGUCUCCUCCCAAAGCGUAACGGAGGAGCACGAAGGUUAGCUAAUCACGGUCGGACAUCGUGAGGUUAGUGCAAAGGCAUAAGCUGGCUUGACUGCGAGAGUGACGGCUCGAGCAGGUACGAAAGUAGGUCUUAGUGAUCCGGUGGUUCUGAAUGGAAGGGCCAUCGCUCAACGGAUAAAAGGUACUCCGGGGAUAACAGGCUGAUACCGCCCAAGAGUUCAUAUCGACGGCGGUGUUUGGCACCUCGAUGUCGGCUCAUCACAUCCUGGGGCUGAAGUAGGUCCCAAGGGUAUGGCUGUUCGCCAUUUAAAGUGGUACGCGAGCUGGGUUUAGAACGUCGUGAGACAGUUCGGUCCCUAUCUGCCGUGGGCGUUGGAAGAUUGCAAGGGGCUGCUCCUAGUACGAGAGGACCGGAGUGGACGCACCACUGGUGUUCGGGUUGUCAUGCCAAUGGCACUGCCCGGUAGCUAAGUGCGGAAGAGAUAACCGCUGAAAGCAUCUAAGCGGGAAACUUGCCUUAAGAUGAGUCUUCCCUUACCCCUUGAGGGUACUGAA
rnacentral:rRNA from 1 species